AGGGGUGGCAAUCGGGUCAGGUCGGAUAUAAACGUGUCGGGUCAGAUACAGAUCGGGUCAAAAAAUCAUAAACCUGAACCCGACCUGUUUAUUCAACAGGUCAGAAAAUCAUAACCUGAACCUGACCCAUUUAAUAAACAGGUAACCUGACCCAACCCGUUUAACCUGUUUAAUAAACAGGUAACCUGUUUACCCAACCGAUCCGACCUGUUUAACUUAAUUGCCCAACCCGACCCGUUUAACCUGUUUAGACAUGUUUAACCUGCCCAACCUAACAUGUUUAACAUGCCCAACCCGACCUGUUUAACCUGCCCAACCCGAC
rnacentral:lncRNA from 1 species